rnacentral:rRNA from 1 species
UACAGAGGGUGCGAGCGUUAAUCGGAAUUACUGGGCGUAAAGCGUGCGUAGACGGUUUCGUAAGUCGGGUGUGAAAUCCCCCGGGCUCAACCUGGGAAUUGCGAUGGAGACUGCAAGGCUAGAAUCUGGCAGGAGGGGGGUAGAAUUCCACGUGUAGCAGUGAAAUGCGUAGAGAUGUGGAGGAACACCGAUGGCGAAGGGCAGCCCCCUGGGUCAAGAUUGACGCUCAUGCA